CUUAAAAUGAGAGUCAUAAUAAAGGAAUAUUCUCCAGAUACACUGCACUUAUUUCUUUUUAAAAUUUUCCCUCUUUAAGUGACCUUUUCUUUCAAGAACGGGCCUCGGAUGUUGGGUUUCCUUGGGUCUGCUGCUUUUCCUCCUUCUGAGAUCAUUCUUUGUGACAUGAUCACCAUGUCCCUCACCUCUACCUCAGAUGCUGCGAUUGAAGGUUGCAGGUGGUGAGAAGAAAACAACUUGCACGGAUGAAUUCUUGAGACCAGGGUCCUGUAUUUAUCUCAGUGGCUUCAGUACAGGGCAGGGAAGCUCACCGAAGUUGUGACACACAGGUGGCUCCCAGGAGCAGAGAAAUUCAAGCAGGCUGUUGUGUAGGCUGGAUUCCCACCUACUGCAUGGAGAAACUGGAACAUGGACAUGGAACAGCAUUUCUGCAUGAAAUCUUUUUUUUGUUGUUGUUGUUUUUCUUCUCUGGCUUUGAAAUUUGCAUUUCUUUUAGUAAAAUAAACUGGUUCAAAAACAUGUACA